AGAUCGAUCUGUUGCUUCCUCUAA
rnacentral:siRNA from 1 species